rnacentral:piRNA from 1 species
UGAAACAGUGCAACCGUGCAGACAGCCCAGCC